rnacentral:rRNA from 1 species
GACGAACGCUGGCGGCGUGCUUAACACAUGCAAGUCGAACGAAAAGUCAUUGAAAGCUUGCUGAUAUGAUUUUUAGUGGCGGACGGGUGAGUAACGCGUGAGGACUUGUCUUAUACAGGGGGACAACAGUUGGAAACGGCUGCUAAUACCCCAUAAGCCUUCGGGUAAAAGGAGCAAUCCGGUAUUCGAGAGACUCGCGUCCUAUCAGCUAGUAGGUGAGGUAACGGCUCACCUAGGCGAAGACGGGUAGCCGGCCUGAGAGGGCGAACGGCCACACUGGAACUGAGACACGGUCCAGACUCCUACGGGAGGCAGCAGUGGGGGAAGUAUUGGGCGAAUGGGGGCGAACCCUGACCCAGCGACGCCGCGUGAGUGAAGAAAUCCCUCAGGAUGUAAAGCUCUGUUGUGUGGGAAGAUAAUGACGGUACCACACGAGGAAGCCCCGGCAAACUAACGUG